rnacentral:rRNA from 1 species
AGUGAACGCUGGCGGUAGGCCUAACACAUGCAAGUCGAACGGCAGCACAGUAAGAGCUUGCUCUUACGGGUGGCGAGUGGCGGACGGGUGAGGAAUACAUCGGAAUCUACUUUUUCGUGGGGGAUAACGUAGGGAAACUUACGCUAAUACCGCAUACGACCUACGGGUGAAAGCAGGGGAUCUUCGGACCUUGCGCGAUUGAAUGAGCCGAUGUCGGAUUAGCUAGUUGGCGGGGUAAAGGCCCACCAAGGCGACGAUCCGUAGCUGGUCUGAGAGGAUGAUCAGCCACACUGGAACUGAGACACGGUCCAGACUCCUACGGGAGGCAGCAGUGGGGAAUAUUGGACAAUGGGCGCAAGCCUGAUCCAGCCAUACCGCGUGGGUGAAGAAGGCCUUCGGAUUGUAAAGCCCUUUUGUUGGGAAAGAAAAGCAGUAGGUUAAUACCCCGCUGUUCUGACGGUACCCAAAGAAUAAGCACCGGCUAACUUCGUG